rnacentral:rRNA from 1 species
AGAACGAACGCUGGCGGCAGGCUUAACACAUGCAAGUCGAACGGUUGUAGCAAUACAGCAGUGGCAGACGGGUGAGUAACACGUGGGAACCUUCCUAGGGGUACGGAACAACUCAGGGAAACUUGAGCUAAUACCGUAUACGUCCGUGAGGAGAAAGAUUUAUCGCCCCUAGACGGGCCCGCGUAGGAUUAGGUAGUUGGUGAGGUAACGGCUCACCAAGCCUACGAUCCUUAGCUGAUCUGAGAGGAUGAUCAGCCACACUGGGACUGAGACACGGCCCAGACUCCUACGGGAGGCAGCAGUGGGGAAUCUUGGACAAUGGGCGCAAGCCUGAUCCAGCCAUGCCGCGUGAGUGAAGAAGGCCUUGGGUUGUAAAGCUCUUUUACCAGGGACGAUAAUGACGGUACCUGGAGAAUAAGCCCCGGCAAACUUCGUGCCAGCAGCCGC